rnacentral:snRNA from 1 species
GGCUGUGAGGGCAAUCUGGCUGGACAUCUGUCCCCCAUUGAUCACCAGGGUUGACAUGGCUGAUCUGGCUGGCUGGGAGGGUGUUCCCUUCCUCUCUCACCACUCCAUGUGUAUCUCUCUGGAAGCCUGAAGCUAUGCGCUCAGUGGAAGAGGGCCACCAUCCCUGAUAGAGGAGUGCUGGUCUUUGGUCAAGGGUAUACCAGUAGCUGCACUCCCCUGGUAGAAUCUCCAAACAUGAUCUCAUUCCACAGAAUUGACCCUCUAUAUACUAGAAGAUAAGACCUUUGUUGAACUCCACUCCACCACUAGCUGAAGGUUUGCCAGUGUUG